rnacentral:misc_RNA from 1 species
UUCGGUAUCCUGUGUUGCUUACCUAUCGAAAGGAAUCCGAUGGUUUCGUUGGUCCCUUUCCGCCCCAUGCCCUCGCGGGUUGUGGGGUGGACGUCAGGCAAGCCUCGUGUUCCCGGCACGCUUCGCCCAGUUGCGUGGCUGCCUCGGCCCACGGGGCGCAUUGCCCGUGCUCUCGGAUGCGGAACGUUACGCGCGGGCGUGGGGUCUUUUGGCUCCGUCGGCCCGAGCAACGCAUUUGUCCAUCGACACGAACGACCGUCGCGUCCGUCUUGAGCCCGCGGCCGUACGGCCCGUCGGGUCUCAUGCGGGCGUCGGCGUCGCGAAGGAAUGCUACCUGGUUGAUCCUGCCAGUAGUCAUAUGCUUGUCUC